rnacentral:rRNA from 1 species
AUAUACAGUGAAACUGCGAAUGGCUCAUUAAAUCAGUUAUCGUUUAUUUGAUGAUACUUUACUACUUGGAUAACCGUGGUAAUUCUAGAGCUAAUACAUGCAUAAAAGUCCCGACCCCUGGAAGGGAUGUAUUUAUUAGAUAAAAAACCAAUGCCUUCGGGCUCUUUGGUGAUUCAUAGUAACUUAACGAAUCGCAUGGCCUUGUGCUGGCGAUGGUUCAUUCAAAUUUCUGCCCUAUCAACUUUCGAUGGUAGGAUAUAGGCCUACCAUGGUUUCAACGGGUAACGGGGAAUUAGGGUUCGAUUCCGGAGAGGGAGCCUGAGAAACGGCUACCACAUCCAAGGAAGGCAGCAGGCGCGCAAAUUACCCAAUCCCGACACGGGGAGGUAGUGACAAUAAAUACUGAUACAGGUGGUUUUAUGCCUCUUGUAAUUGGAAUGAGUACAAUUUAAAUCUCUUAACGAGGAACAAUUGGAGGGCAAGUCUGGUGCCAGCAGCCGCGGUAAUUCCAGCUCCAAUAGCGUAUAUUAAAGUUGUUGCAGUUAAAAAGCUCGUAGUUGAACCUUGGACCUGGCCGAUCGGUCUGCCUCACCGCAUGCACUGGUUUGGUCGGGUCUUUCCUUCUGGCAAACUGCAUGCCCUUCACUGGGUGUGUUGGGGAACCAGGACUUUUACUUUGAAAAAAUUAGAGUGUUCAAAGCAGGCAUAGGCUCGAAUACAUUAGCAUGGAAUAAUAGAAUAGGACGUGUGGUUCUAUUUUGUUGGUUUCUAGGACCACCGUAAUGAUUAAUAGGGAUAGUCGGGGGCAUCAGUAUUCAAUCGUCAGAGGUGAAAUUCUUGGAUCGAUUGAAGACUAACUACUGCGAAAGCAUUUGCCAAGGAUGUUUUCAUUAAUCAGGGAACGAAAGUUAGGGGAUCGAAGACGAUCAGAUACCGUCGUAGUCUUAACCAUAAACUAUGCCGACUAGGGAUUGGGCGAUGUUCUUUUUUGACUCGCUCAGCACCUUACGAGAAAUCAAAGUCUUUGG